rnacentral:rRNA from 1 species
CAUUUCUAGCUUGCUAAAGAUGACGAGCGGCGGACGGGUGAGUAAUGCUUGGGAACUUGCCUUUGCGAGGGGGAUAACCACUGGAAACGGUGGCUAAUACCGCAUAAUGUCUACGGACCAAAGGGGGCUUAGGCUCUCGCGCAAAGAGAGGCCCAAGUGAGAUUAGCUAGUUGGUGGGGUAAAGGCUCACCAAGGCAACGAUCUCUAGCUGUUCUGAGAGGAAGAUCAGCCACACUGGGACUGAAACACGGCCCAUACUCCUACGGGAGGCAGCAGUGGGGAAUAUUGGACAAUGGGCGCAAGCCUGAUCCAGCCAUGCCGCGUGUGUGAAGAAGGCCUUCGGGUUGUAAAGCACUUUCAGUGGGGAGGAAGGCCAAGCAGUUAAUACCUGCUUGGAUUGACGUUACCCACAGAAGAAGCACCGGCUAACUCCGUGCCAGCAGCCGCGGUAAUACGGAGGGUGCAAGCGUUAAUCGGAAUUACUGGGCGUAAAGCGCACGCAGGCGGUUUGUUAAGCUAGAUGUGAAAGCCCCGGGCUCAACCUGGGAUGGUCAUUUACAACUGGCAGACUAGAGUCUUGGUGAGGGGAGUGGAAUUCCACGUGUAGCGGUGAAAUGCGUAGAUAUCUGGAGGAACAUCAGUGGCGAGGGGCUCCCAUGGUCAAAGACUGACGCUCAUGUGCAAAGUGUG